rnacentral:rRNA from 1 species
UGGGGAAUAUUGGACAAUGGGGGCAACCCUGAUCCAGCCAUGCCGCGUGAGUGAUGAAGGCCUUAGGGUUGUAAAGCUCUUUCGGCGGGGACGAUAAUGACGGUACCCGCAGAAGAAGCCCCGGCUAACUUCGUGCCAGCAGCCGCGGUAAUACGAAGGGGGCUAGCGUUGCUCGGAAUCACUGGGCGUAAAGCGCACGUAGGCGGAUCUUUAAGUCAGGGGUGAAAUCCCAAGGCUCAACCUUGGAACUGCCCUUGAUACUGGGGAUCUCGAGUCCGGAAGAGGUUGGUGGAACUCCGAGUGUAGAGGUGAAAUUCGUAGAUAUUCGGAAGAACACCAGUGGCGAAGGCGGCCAACUGGUCCGGCACUGACGCUGAGGUGCGAAAGCGUGGGGAGCAAACA